rnacentral:pre_miRNA from 1 species
GUAUGAGCUAGCUGGGGAUCUUGUUAAAAUGCAGAUUUGGAUACAGCAGGGGCUUGAGAUCCUGCAUUUCUAACAACCUUCUGGGUGAUGCUGAU